rnacentral:rRNA from 1 species
CCUACGGGAGGCAGCAGUGGGGAAUAUUGGACAAUGGGGGGAACCCUGAUCCAGCGACGCCGCGUGAGUGAAGAAGUAUUUCGGUAUGUAAAGCUCUAUCAGCAGGGAAGAAAGAAAUGACGGUACCUGACUAAGAAGCCCCGGCUAACUACGUGCCAGCAGCCGCGGUAAUACGUAGGGGGCAAGCGUUAUCCGGAUUUACUGGGUGUAAAGGGAGCGUAGACGGCGAUGCAAGUCUGAAGUGAAAGGCGGGGGCUCAACCCCCGGACUGCUUUGGAAACUGUAUGGCUGGAGUGCAGGAGAGGUAAGUGGAAUUCCUGGUGUAGCGGUGAAAUGCGUAGAUAGUAGGAGGAACACCAGUGGCGAAGGCGGCUUACUGGACUGUAACUGACGUUGAGGCUCGAAAGCGUGGGGAGCAAACAGGAUUAGAUACCCCAGUAGUC